UUAACCACACUCGUGUCGGCAGAAGCGUUUAUUCUCCGCUUGUCUUUACAGGGAGCAGGGCAGCCGCGGCCAGCGAGGGGCAGGAGCAGGGCGGAGCCGUCCCCGCGCUCAGAUGGUGCAGUUCCCCUCCCCGUAGCGCCGGCACUUCAUCACCUUCAGUGAACAAAGCUCAAACCCAGAUCCCAGCUGCAUGCAUCCAGAGGUGACAGAUCUGCCUCUCCUGCCCUGGUUUGCCCACCCCCUGACACAGCAGACAGACACCUUUGGUUAAGUAAACGGUGUUAUAAAGGGA